rnacentral:rRNA from 1 species
UGGCGAACGGGUGAGUAACACGUGGGUGAUCUGCCCCGCACUGUGGGAUAAGCCUGGGAAACUGGGUCUAAUACCACAUACGACCACACUGUAGACGGUGUGGUGGAAAGCUUUUGCGGUGUGGGAUGAGCCCGCGGCCUAUCAGCUUGUUGGUGGGGUAAUGGCCUACCAAGGCGGCGACGGGUAGCCGGCCUGAGAGGGUGGACGGCCACAUUGGGACUGAGACACGGCCCAG